rnacentral:rRNA from 1 species
CCUACGGGAGGCAGCAGUGGGGAAUAUUGCACAAUGGGGGAAACCCUGAUGCAGCGACGCCGCGUGAGUGAAGAAGUAAUUCGUUAUGUAAAGCUCUAUCAGCAGGGAAGAAAAUGACGGUACCUGAGUAAGAAGCCCCGGCUAACUACGUGCCAGCAGCCGCGGUAAUACGUAGGGGGCAAGCGUUAUCCGGAUUUACUGGGUGUAAAGGGAGCGUAGACGGCAGUGCAAGUCUGGAGUGAAAGGCGGGGGCUCAACUGCGGAACGGCUUUGGAAACUGUGUAACUGGAGUGCUGGAGAGGUAAGCGGAAUUCCUGGUGUAGCGGUGAAAUGCGUAGAGAUCAGGAGGAACACCGGCGGCGAAGGCGGCUUACUGGACAGUAACUGACGUUGAGGCUCGAAAGCGUGGGGAGCAAACAGGAUUAGAUACCCGAGUAGUC